AGCAUGAAACAUACAUGUUUCAUUUCGUUGUCGAAUGGUGACGCAACGGUGAAAUUGAUGAUUUUCUUGAUGGUGCAUAAAUCUUAUAAAUGAAAAUGAACAAAAAAAUUGCAAUAAGAAUCAAUGCAGAAAUCAUACUGUCUCACAUUCUUAAAAUUAUUCAUUAGAAAAUAAAAAUAUUUAAAAUACACUUAUGACAAACGUGAAGCUCAAUAUUUCUCAACCACCUUCAAAUCAUUAAAAUCGUUUGCAUUGGAGCGCUUUGGAUUUAUACCCAUUCUAACGUUUUCGCCAAAAUUGAUCGGAGCUGUUAAUGCUUGGCUAUUUGGAAUUCGAUUUUCAUGCAACAGCAACGCACCGCUACAUGGAAAUCGAUACCCUGGAUUAUCUUCGAUCAAAUUUGACGUCUGAGUCAAUAUUUGAGAAUCCAUCACUCGUCACAAUUGCUCUGAAAACCCGCCAGUGGUCUUUUCACUAAAUUUCACCACGCUACCAAUUUUAGCGGCCACUGAAUAUAACCACAAAAGUGGUUCAUUCAUACAUGUGGUGUAUUGAAACAUUAAAUUUUUUGUGGAAACGCGCCACUUUUGUGGUUCAUUGACAGCUACAAAUAAUGAUGAAAUGUGGUGUCAGGUUUUCAGAGUGGUCACAAUAGAUAUCGGUUCGUGUUUGUAUUGAAUAAUAUCUAUAGAAAUGAUUGUAAUUGAUUAAUUUUUGAAUCAAUGGAAAAAAAGAUAAAUAUGUUAAAAUCAAUGCAUCCGAAGAAUUUUAGUGAUUUUGCACCGUCAUUAACACUCAAUGUCAUUAAAAUUUACUAUCACUGAGUGUUAAUAACGGUGCAAAGUUAUGUAAGUUAAAUUGAGGAACUUGUUGGCGGAUUAUUAAAGGAUAAAUGAGAUACUGAGAGUAAAAAACAAAUAAGUGAGGUUAGAAUGCAAGUUUCUCAUAGGAAUAUAAGUCAGGAGAAGAGCUAUGAGGAACUGAAGGAGAAACAGUCUCUGAUUUACUGCUCUUAAAAACAGUUGUUGAUUUUGUUUUUUAUGACGGUGUUCUCUUAAAUCUCGGGAGAAAUCUCACAUUGAUUCUCGGACCAUCUUGUAUCAAUAUUGGCUUAUUGCUAAUUAUCUUUCAUGAAAUCAACAUAAAUGACACACUUUAAAUUUUUUUAAAGAAAAAUUCAAAGCAGAAGUCGAAUAUUGUAAAAUACUCACUACCAAAAAUUCAACCGACAUUUAGCCAAAUGGAAAAGCUUCAGUGGAUCUGUGCCCAAAACUAAAAUUUAAAUUCAUUUUUUUUUUUUUACAUACAGGUUAAUUGAAAAAUACAAAUUGGAAGGAGCCGAAAAAGAGACUGCCUUAAGGCCCUUAUCCGCCGAAAUGAUGAUACAAAUAAAGAAACGUAACACAGACAAAAAAGCAAUCGUUGAAUCGUUGAUGUCGUUAUUGGGUGACAAUUUUGAAUCGUCUCAGCUGUAUUAUACUUAUAAUUAUAAGUUAUAAAUGGUUGACAUUCUUUUCUGCCACAUCUAGUUCAUUCAACUGAUUUAACUGAACUAGAUGUGGCAGAAAUGAAUGUUAACCAUUGAAAAUGAAAAUCGACCAAGUGAAUCAGAAAAAUGGAUUUUUGCUCACUAUUGAUGAAAUUAAGGAGAAAAUAAAUAUCGUACAACAAAUGAAACCGAAUAAUAUUGCAGACUUCAUUCCUUCACUAAUUGCCGAUGCGAUUGUAUUGGAAAAAUAUCUCAUUGAGUGAUUAAAAUCCAUUGGAAAUGAUCAUCCGAUUUAUUAUUGUAGCGCAAAAAUAGUCACUGAGGUUUUCUUAAAAACCCGAGAGUCAAGCGCAAUAAGGGCACACUAUAUAAACGCCAUCUAUUAAUAACCGACUAACUACAAUGUAAAUCAAACGUAUCUGUUUCCCCUUUUUAUUUACUCCCUUCCCCUCUCGCUAUACUUUUACAUUGUAGUUAGUCUGUUUUACAAAGAUGUCGUUUCUGUGUAAGAUGUGUGACGUCACAAUGUAUUUAUAUGGAUAGCGCUCGACUCUCGUAAAAACCAUGCCAAACAUCUCAAACCAAAGCCAGAUGUUCUCAAAAAAACAUCUAGCUUUGAUUUGAGAGUAUUUGUCAUGGCGUAAAUCAUAAAACUAUUUUGUCAAGUUCAGCGGUCUUCAAAGUCUAUAGCGUGGAGAGACAGCGUAGGUCUACAUUUAUAGGGCCUGACAUUUUUUAAUACAAUAAUUUGGCCUUUUUUAGAUGAUAGAUUCAAAUUUAUAUAAAAAAGCAUUUCAAAUUCACGUUACUACUAAAAAUUCAAACAGAUUUUAUAUACUACAGACCUUUGUCAACCGUAACCGGUUACCUUCUUCGUCUCUGUUAUCUGUGAGCCUAUUACCGCAUAAGAGAAAGAUCACCAUGCUUAAUUUUUCAUUACUUCCAUACCGAUUAUGUUGUGUAUUUUGAAACC